rnacentral:rRNA from 1 species
GAGAUAUAGAGGCGUGCAGGGAGCCGAGAAAUCGUGGGAAAAGUGAGUGCUUAAUGUUGUGUUGUGAUCUCGCCCCCCUAGACUAGGAGUGAGGUCCCAAAAAGGAUAAAUACGUUUGAAGGAGUUGAUAUACGUGGAGAUACAGACGGGAGGACGGAGCACGAAGUUAGCCCCGCACCGAGCCCCCCAGAAGGGGGACAACUGUUUUCGCCGCGGUUUGCUACAACUCCUGUUGCAAUGAUCCUCUUCCGUAGGUGAACCUGCGGAAGGAUCAUUGCACACACGAGUUGCAGCAAACCACGCGGCGAACCAACACGUUGUCCCCCCCCUUCCGGUGGCCUCGGCCGCGGCGGCUAAAUCCCGUCGCGUCCGUCGUCGCCGCGUCGGAAUACCGAAUGAUACCGAAUCACUUCGACCAAAUGACUUAGUCCCAUUUUGGACCCCUUAACUUCUAGUUAGGGGGCGAGAAAACGAGAAACAAAGAUGAACACAACUCUCAGCAACGGAUAUCUUGGCUCCUGCAACGAUGAAGAACGCAGCGAAAUGCGAUACCUAGUGUGAAUUGCAGAAUUCCGCGAAUCAUUGAGUCUUUGAACGCAAGUUGCGCCCGAGGCUCGACCGAGGGCAUUUCCGUUAGAGCGUCACCGCGCGCCCCCACCGAGCUCCCCAACCAAGGGAGGAGUUCGAGUGCAAUUGGCCGUCCCGAGGUUCCCUUUGUGGAAUCGGGUCGGCCGAAGUACCUUGGCAGACUCCGUGGCGACACGGCCCACGAUCGGGUGAUCCGAGCCCUUCUAAAGGGGCUCGGAAUUUUUCUAAGUGUGAGGCCGCGCCGCCCCGUGUGUCCCGAAGGAGGAAAGUGUUACAUGUUAAGUGUUACAUUGAAGUGAGCAGUGAAGUGUUACCAGAGUUACGCACCAGACCUCUAAUCGGGAAAGACUACCCGCUGAGUUUAAGCAUAUCAAUAAGCGGAGGAAGAUAGGAUUAUUGCCACCUAGUUGCGUAUACGGGUGGUAAUAUCGUUGUCCCCCCUUCGGGGGGCCUCUUGGGGCGGGAUAAAUCUACGCGCCUCC